AUAAAUAAUCGACCCGGUCCUUAGAUUUACUUAAGGCUUUCCAGGAGCCGUAUGAGGUGAAAAUCUCAUGUACGGUUCUAUAAUAGAGAUGGGAACAAUAAUGUUAUCACCGACUAGGAUUAUCUAACAGUUUAAGUACAAUUGAUAUAGUUGAUGCGCAAUCAAAAUAUGGUUUUUGGGGUUGGAAUUUGUGGCGUCAACCUUUGGGUUUCAUCGAUUUUCUAAUUUCUUCGCUAACAGAAUGUGAAAGAUUACCUUUUGAUUUACCAGAAGUAGAAGAAGAAUUAGUGGCUGGUUAUCAAACAAAAUAUUCAGGUAUUCGAUUUGGUUUAUUUUACAUUGCUUCCUAUUUAAACCUUUUAAUUUCUUCAUUAUUUGUAACAGUUCUUUACUUGGGCGGUUCAAAUAUUUCUAUUCCGUACAUAUUUGUUUCGCCCACACAAAACAGACAACAGGGACAAAGAUUUUUUUUUGGGGGAGGGUUUUUUCCCCUUUUUUUUUUUUUUUCCCCCCCCCCAAAUUGAUAUUAGCCCUCGCGAAACAGAAAUCUUGAUUUCUUAUUCUUAAGUUUUCUAUAAAGAUUUCUUACUGGCGAGCUACGACAAUUGCACCUAUCAAAGAAACUAAAAGAAAUUAUUGAAAUUAGUUCAAAUGGAAGAAAAAAAAUCUGUUGAUAAAUGAAUUCCCAAUUUGUUGACUAGUACUUAUCAAAUCUUGCUCAAUAAUCUGAUUUGGUCUUGUAGUCCAAAUAAUUCCGUACCAUGAUGUAUCUGAAAUAAUAGUUAUUAGUGAAACAAAAAUACUUCGUACAAACUAUCAAAGUCAUUCCAUCCCCUACGGUCCAAAGAUUCAAAUCUUGGUAAUAUUCGGAACUAUUCAUGAACAUCACAGCAAAUAUGAUUAAAAUGUUAAUAGCUCCCACGUAAAUAAGUAGCUGUGAUGCAGCUACAAAAUGAGAGUUUGCUAAAAUAUAAAUAAAGAUAUACAACCAGAACCAGUCCCAACGAAAAAGCAGAAAAAAUGGGGUUGGUAAGUAAUACUACUCCUAAACUUCCUAAUAGAAGACCCGAUCCCAGAAAGACUAAAAGAAAAUCGUGCAUCGUUUCAGGCAGAUCCAUUAUAUGUAAAAAAAAAAAAAGACAAAGAAAUAUAAAUUUCAUGACCUUAUUGAUAUCACCAGGAAUAAUUUUUAUAUACUUCAAUUUUUCUUUGCAUUGAAAAACCUAAGUAGUUUAAAUUGAUAUAGUUAGGGUUAUAUAAUCAAUGUCAUUCCACUCUUUUUCUUUAUACGAAAGAGUAGUUUGAAACGAUAUUAAAACUAAAGUAUAAAGGUAGAUAGAAAUAUAAAACAUUGAAAAUCUUAUUGAAAUUCAAUAAGAUUUUCAAUUUCGAUAAUAUAUAUUGAUAUAUUCUAUUUAAGAAUAUAGUUCUCUAAUAAUUAUAGAAUAUUUCUAAUCUGAUAUCGACUAUAUUAUUCAUUUUUUAUACAAUUUUUGAAAAUAUUUUAUUUCGAUUAUUCUAUUUAUAUAUUCUAUAUAUUAUCGAUUUAUAUAUAGAAUAUUCUUUUUUUUUUAGAAUUGUAUUUAAUUAUAAAAAAUUGUCUUUUUUGAUUUGAAUUGUUCGAAUUGUAUAAUCAUCAAUUAUUGACAUUGGUAAACGCCCAAAGCAAUUUGAUUAUAAUUCAAUUCAUGACGAUCAUAAGUUGAAAGUUCAUAUUCUUCAGUCAUUGAUAAACAAUUUGUUGGACAAUACUCAAUACAGUUACCACAAAAAAAUACAGAUUCCGAAAUCAAUACUGUAAUUUAGCAAUCGUUUCUUUCGAAUAUCCGUUUCCAUUUUCCAAUCAACAACGGGUAAAUCUAUAGGACAUACACGACACAUACUUCACAAGCAAUGCAUUUAUCAAAUUCAAAAUGGAUUCGCCCGCGGAAACGUUCUGAUGUGAUUAAUUUUUCAUAAGGAUAUUGAAUAGUUACAGGUAAACGAUUUGCGUGAGAUAAGAUAAUCAUGAAACUUUGACCAAUGUACCUUGCAGCUCGUAGUGUUUGUUGACCAUAAUUCAUGAACCCAGUUACCAUAAGGAACAUAUCGUAAAUAUCUAUGAAUAGUAUAGUUUUGUUUGAUUUCUUUCUCUUAUUUGAGACAAGUAAUGAAUAUAAAAGAUCCAUCUUUGUUUUACAGCGAAAACAAUUGAGACGAAGUUGUUAAUAAUAGAUUACCUACAGAAAUCGGUAAAAGAAAUUUCCAUCCAAGAUUUAAUAAUUGAUCCAUUCUUAGCCUAGGCAAAGACCAUCUUGUUAUGAUAGAAACGAAUAAGAAAAAAUAGCUUUUAGCUAAUGUAAUAAAGAGAUCACUUGUAGUUCCAAAAACUCCGUAUGUUUUAUUUAUUUCAAAAAAUUCGGAAACAAAUAUGUACGGAAUAGAAAUAUUUGAACCGCCCAAGUAAAGAACUGUUACAAAUAAUGAAGAAAUUAAAAGGUUUAAAUUAGGAGCAACGUAAAAUAAACCAAAUCGAAUACCUGAAUAUUCUGUUUGAUAACCAGCUACUAAUUCUUCUUCUGCUUCUGGUAAAUCAAAAGGUAAUCUUUCACAUUCUGCUAGCGAAGAAAUUAGAAAAACGAUGAAACCCAUAGGUUGACGCCACAAAUUCAACCCCAAAAACCAUAUUUUGAUUGCGCAUCAACUAUAUCAACUGUACUUAAACUGUUAGAUAAUCCUAGUCGGUGAUAACAUUACUGUUCCCAUCUCUAUUACAGAACCGUACAUGAGAUUUUCACCUCAUACGGCUCCUGGAAAGCCUUAAGUAAAUUUAAGGACCGGGUCGAUUAUUUAUCUCUUGAUAUAUCCCUAAGAUAUAGAAGAUGAAAAUCUAUCGAACGUUCUGAAUUAGACCAAUUCAAUUCUGUCUGUUCUACAAAUAACGAAAUAAGAAAGAUAAAUCUAUUUUAAUAAAAGAUCCAAUUAAGGCACUUCUGAAUUGAUCUCAUCCCUCAAAAAAAAAAAAUAAAACUUUGUUGAGUAAUAACUGAAUUCUUCAAUAAAAUACUCUUUUAUAAUUCUCAAUAAUCCUCAUGAUUUUGAAUGACGAAAAAUAAUUACACAUUCGUUUCUUAAUUCU
rnacentral:lncRNA from 1 species